UAUAAGGUAUAAGACAAAGAAAAGAGUCAGAGGUGACAUCCUACUUUUUACACAAGCAACUAGAUAGAUGGAUUUACUAUUUAACCAAAAUAUGGAACACUGUGGUGAGGAGCAGGAGAAGAGAGGAAGUUCGGUGUAAAUAUUCUGUUUGAGAUGCCUAUUAAAUACUGAAGUGGAGAUAAUGAGUUGGUAGCUGGAAGUAUGAGUCUGAAGUUUGAGUAGAAGUGUGAGAAGGACAAAUACUUUCAGGAAUCCUUAACAUAUAGAAAGAAUUUGAAGCCAGUGGCCUAGAUAAUAUCAUCAGGGGAGGUGAGGGUAGAUAAACGGUUCAGAGACUGAGUGACCCUAGAUCACUCUAAUUUUAAGAGUGGAAAUAGAAGGAAGCACCCCCCCCCAAAAAAAAAGAGAGAAAGAGACAGCAUAAUGAAUUUUCAAGUUUCGUAGGAAAAAAUCAGACCAAUGUGUGCCUACGAGGCAAGCAAGAAAGUCACUCAAAAGAGUGAGAGCGAUGAAUGCUGUCACAUGUUGCUGAGUCAAGUAAGAAAAUGAAGAGAAUGGGAGAUGAAGUUCUCCUUUAGUUUUGUAGUGCUUAUUUGUGACCUUGACCAGAGACAUUGUGGUGAAGUGAUUCAGGGCAAAAGAUAGUAAAAUAUGUGUGUAUUUUAUAGAGAGGUAAUUUAUAAUUCUCAUAAAUACUCACAUGGACAAUAGUCAGCACUGUGUGAUGAAUGUGCUUUUAUUGCUAGUUAUACAACUGUACCCGAGAGUUUUAUGACUUGGACUCAUUUCACAUUGGAGGAAGGAUUGUACUCUGCUACAUUCAACCUUUCAUAAAACAUGGAAAAAAUCAUGGAAGACAUCUUUAUCAAAUAGGAAAACAGAAACUCAAGAGGACUAAAAAAUAUACUGAAUGGCAAUAGAAAACGUGAAAAAAAUUCAAAAAGCAUAAAAAUGGGACCAAAAUUGAAAGGUUAAAUUUGACGUGAAUAAAUGUCAAGUCUUACAUUUAUCUAUAGUAGAGUCCUGGGCACAUAGAUUGUUGGGGAGACAGAGCCUAAUUCUAGUCCAUCAAUAAAAUGAAGUGUUUAGUAGAUUAUAAGCUUCCUAUAGUCCAAUGAUGUAAGAAGCAGGCAAAAAACUAUAAAAUACUAGUUUGUACUCAAGUAAUUUUACAGAAUUAUUAAAAGGGUUUAGGUUUUUAAAAUUGUUUUUGUUGAUAUGUAAUUUAUAAAACAUUAGUUUAAGGUGUACACCGUAAUAAUUUGACAUUUGCUUACAUUGCCAAAUGAUCACUGCAACAUCCAUCCAUUUUGUAACCGUAUGUAAGUUACAAUUUUUUUUUCCUCAUGAUGAGAAUUUUCAAGAUCCACUCUACUAGCUAUUUUCAAAUAUGCAAUACAGUAUUUUUAACUAUAGUCACUAUGCUGUGAGUUGUAUCCCCAUGAUUUAUUUCAUUACUAUAGAUUUGUGCCUUUACACUGCCUUUACCCAUUUUGUCCACCCCUGAUCUCCCACCUCCCUGCCUCUGGCAACCAUCAGUCUGUUCUCUAUAUCCAUAAGCUUGCAGGGUUUGCUUUUUAUUUUGUGCUUUUUUGAUUUUUAGAUUCCGCAUGUAAGUGAUUUUGUACAAUAUUUACUUUUUCUGACUUAUUUCACUUAGCAUAAUGCCUUCUAAGUUCAUCUAUGUUGUUGCAAAUGUCAAGAUGCCAAUCAUUUUUAUUGCUGAAUAAUAUUCCAUUCUGCAGAUAUACCACAUUUUUUAUCCAUUCAUUCAUCAAUAGACAUUUAGCUUGUUCCCAUGUCUUGACUAUUGUAAUUUAUGCUGCAAUGAACAUAGGGGCAUAUAUAUUUUUUAUUUAAUUCAUGUUUUUGCUUUUGCUUUCUUUAGAUAAGUACCCAGAAAUGGAACUGCUGGAUGAUAUGGUAGUUCUAUUUUUAAUUUUUUGAAAUUCCUUCAUACUAUUUUCCAUAGUGGCUGAACCAAUUUAUAUUUCCACUGUCAUUGUAGGAGGGUUCUCUUUUUUCCAUGUUUGUUAUUUCUUCUCUUUUUAACAAUACCAUUCCAACAAGUGUGAAGUCAUAACUCACUGUGGUUUUGAUUGUUGUUUCCCUGAUAAUUAGUGAUAUUGCAAACUUUUUAUUUACAAGUUAGCUAUCUUGUAUGCCUUCUUUGGAAAAAUGUCUAUUCAGAUCCUCUGCCCAUUUUUUUAACCAGAUAUUUUUCUUGCUUUUGUGUUGCACAAGUUCUUUAUAUAGUUUGAAUAUUAAUUCCUUAUCAGAUAUUUGACUUUGACUUGCAAAUAUUUUCUCCAACUCAAUAGAUUGCUUUUUCAUUUUGUUGAUGAUUUCCUUUGCUAUGCAGAAGCUUUUUAGUUUGAUAUAGUCCUGCUUGUCUAUUUUUUGCUUUUUUGCCUUAGCUUUAGGUUUCAAAUCCAAAAAAAAUCUCCUAAGACCUAUGUCAAGGAGCUUAUUUCCUAUAUUUUCUUCUAGGAGUUUUAUGGUUUCAGGUCAUCUUACAUUCAAGUCUUUAAUCUAUUUUGUGUUGGUUUUGUGUGUGUGUGGUGUAAGAGAGUAUUUCAUUUUAUUCUUUUAAAGAUUUUUUUUUUUUUUUUUAGAUCUUGGGUAAAAAAGAAAAACUUGUGGAAAACUAUGUACUGUUCUGGGCACAAUUUAAGAAUGUUAUUGGAAAACUGAAUUUGAUCCCUAAGUGGCAGAUCUGACCAGUUAAGAAACCAGUUAAUAUUAUGUGUUUGGACUUGUAAAUAACAUGAGCUUUAUGAAUUAACAAAAAUUAUUAACUGAAUAAAUGUUCAAAUUUCAAAUAUUUUUGAGAAAUGUUGGGUUAAAUGGUUUUAUUUCUUAACUUUGGCAUAUCUCAGAAUAUUUGACAAGCAAUAUCCACCAGACAUUUCCAGGAGAAAGAGAAUAUAUUGAAUUUCAAAAAAUAAUGAUAACAGAAUAAUUUUUGCCUAUGGACCAUCUCAUGGUACUAAUAUUCUAUAGAGCAGACUCUGGGAAAUGCCAUGUGAAAAAUAAACCAUUAUGUGCAUUCCAAAGAAAAUCACCUGCUGAGGUAAGAAGUAGAUGGGAAUAAAAUUUUAAACAUCUGAAUGGUAGCGCAGUGCUGUAUACUGUGGAAAAUCAUAUUUAUUUUCCUUAGGGCAGAAAAGGUAAAUACUAAAAAAAGGUAGGUGUUGACUCAGUGUGAAGAACUUGACAAUUUGUGUUAUUUGUAUAAAGACGUAAAGGCUCCAUCACUGAAAUAUUUGAGAACAUUUGCAAGGCUGGAUGGGCAAAAAGCUUAGGAAUUUUCAGAACACUUUUCCUGGAAUUUUGCUGGUGAUCGAUGACAUAUCCAAUUAUUCUCCAGGAUAAUUUCCAAAUUUCAGAUGGUUGAUUUAUGGGGCUUAGUUUUGGAUUAACAUUUUUCUUUUGAUUAAACUCAAAAUAUCCCCACUAUAGAGGACAUGCUAAACCAUUCUCUUACCUCCCCCAAAUUAGUCAGUGUAGGCUCAAACAUUUUAUUUAUUUAUUUCACUUAAGUGAAGCAUACUUCAGAAGUAAAUGGAAUAGAACUCUAAUUAUAUAUUGAAUUUUAAAACAUAUCCAUUUUUAAAAAAUGCCAGUGUGCAAAUUGUAUUAUCAGCUUUGUUUCCUUCCAUUUGCACAAUUAUUUUACAGCUGAUUUGCAGCAUUAAACUUCUUUUAUUUCUAUUGCCUGGUAUUUAUGGGAUAAUUCUCUUUAUGGGAUUGCUGUUUCACGCUUGUCUCAUUGAAGCAAGUUUUUGUAUGUGUCUUAAACUAUAAAUACUUAAAAACUAAAAAUGUUUUAAGAAAGACUGUGAAAUCUUUACACACACACACAGACACACACCUGUCUAUAUUUUUUCCUUAAAGAUUAAGAACCAGUCCAGUCUCACUGGAUUUAGGGGAUGGUUAGACAAAAUAGAUGCUUUAUAUGAAAAACUGUAAAUUUGGAAAACUUCAUCUACUUAUUCAUUCCUUACCAUAUUCAGCAAGAAAAAAUAGAGUGGGUUAUAGAAAAAAAUCUUUAAAUAUUUCCUUUGAGUUCACCUUUAUAAAUGUUAUAAAAUACAGGAGAUAAUUAGAAUAAAGGGAGUAUGGAAAUUUCCCAGUUCCCAGGGUUUUUUCCUUAGGCACACGUUUCACAGAAUGAUCCCCUAAAAUUUCUAUUUCAUUUACAGAAAAUAGAUUUGACAGUGACUCCUUUUCUUCAGUUUCUGCCAGGACUUAAUGGAAUCUCCUUGUUAUCUCUGAAUAGAAAUAUAUUCAAAGAAACUAAUCCUAUACAGCUUUCCCAUUAAAUGGAAUAUUUAAUCAGUGAAAUUACUCAGGAUCCUAUUUCCAGCUCUGGCUAUCUUCUUAGUGCAUGUAGUUUUUUGAUUACUUACACUGUUCCCAAUGAUGGCAGUGACACAGCUUCUGAAUUUUACCAUAAUACUUUCUAGCUAGUCUAAAAACUUCAUGUAUUUCAAGCAUUUGGGUACCAUCAGUACCCCAGUGUUCUAGAUAUAGAGGUGAAACAUAAAUUUGCCUUCCCCAGGCUGUGUAGAGAGUUCACUGCCUUUUUAUCAGUGAAAUAACAUCGCUGAUGGUUUCAAACCAUAAGCACGUUUUUCUACUUUCCCUAAAAAUUUCCCUGUGACUUUUCAGAAAGAUGGCUAAAUAGUCUAAAGAAAAAUGUGUAAAUAUCAGACCCAAAGACUCCAAACUUCACACAUCAGUGUAAGUAGCUAAGCACUUCAAAGCAAAAUUGACCUAGUGCUUAUCUCUAGCCCAGCAGGGCUCACAAAUUUUAAUUUUGAUUCUUAAAUUCAUGAACUCCUGAUAAGAAAUGUGCUCCAUUGGAAGAUAGAAAUGUUAUUGAAAAGCAAGUGCAUGACUGCUUCUAUACAGUAGUCAGGAAAAUUGUUCUCUGCCCUUUGUGUCUCAGACUGAAGCUACUUCAAUAAGCUGGAAGAUUCUUACUCAACUGUGUUUUCCUGCCGACGAACCUGGGUCUAGAGGAUUUUCAAAGGUUAUCAUUUCAUUCCAGCAAAAACAUCCACUUCUUCUAUUAGGUAGACACUCGAAGGUGAUUGUUGUAUUGCUUUGGAUUAAGCUAUAUUAAAAUGGUCAAAUCGGUUAGGUUUAGACUAAGCCAAUAUUAGAGAAAUAAGCAAAGGGUCGAUUUUUUUUUUUUUUCCCCCAUUUCAUGCAGCUUUGUAUCACAGGACACUUUCCCUGUCCACUUUCUUAAAUCCUUUCCCAGAGUCACUGCCUCCUUUGCACACUCUCUUUCUUAAAUAGCAAGACUAAGACCUUCUCAGCAGAAAUAUAAAUAAGGCAGAUUGGAAAUAUACAAGAUAUGUGUUUACCACAUAUGCGUGUGUAUGUGAAUGUGUAUUCUUAAUGAAUACACUUGUUUAUCUUUAGUUAUAAAUUUUGAUCUUUGUUCAAAAUAAUGUUUUUCCAAACAUUCACAUAUUAAAACAAUCAGCUUCAAGAAAGAUUUCUGCCAUGCUAAAUUGUCAGUUUCUUCUAUUUGUGAGAGAUAAUAAAAUAGUGACUGUGUAAAUUGGUUAUGAAGCUGUUUAAAACAAAUUCUCACUUUAAUUCUAUUUAAUCUAUAUACUUUGUAAUCAAACUGGAUGAUAGUCCAGCAAUAUCAUACAUAAUCUAAUAAUUUUAUUUUGUAUCCUCUGUACAAAACUUUUUUAUUAUACUGUGGCUAAGUAAAUUGCACUAUUGUACCUGCAAAGCAGCUUUUUUAGUUAUUCAAUAAAUUACUUGGACUGUAGUUCAAUGCAAUAAUUUUUUUUCAAUAAAAAGCUUAAUGGUAUGAGAGUGUUAGUCACGUAUUUCUAACAAAAAGCAUACCAAAAUAUCAGAACAAAAUCAAAAGCAAAAUGGUAUGAAAAUAAUCUGUAUUUUACACUGCUGAAUUUAAAAUGCAUUCAACAUUUUAUUUAUUAUUGUGUAUAUUUAUAUUAUAUAUUUAAAGGCUGGAAUUUCUUAGACUAUUUCUUAAAACUUUAGUGUUAUAAAAUAAAGCUGUUUCCUCAAACUGAAAAUAAAUGUCUUUAAAAUU
rnacentral:lncRNA from 1 species